AUGAACGCUGGCGGCGUGCCUAAUACCUGCAAGUCGAGCGAACGGACGAGAAGCUUGCUUUUCUGAUGUUAGCGGCGGACGGGUGAGUAACACGUGGAUAACCUACCUAUAAGACUGGGAUAACUUCGGGAAACCGGAGCUAAUACCGGAUAAUAUUUUGAACCGCAUGGUUCAAAAGUGAAAGACGGUCCUGCUGUCACUUAUAGAUGGAUCCGCGCUGCAUUAGCUAGUUGGUAAGGUAACGGCUUACCAGGGCAACGAUGCAUAGCCGACCUGAGAGGGUGAUCGGCCACACUGGAACUGAGACACGGUCCAGACUCCUACGGGAGGCAGCAGUAGGGAAUCUUCCGCAAUGGGCGAAAGCCUGACGGAGCAACGCCGCGUGAGUGAUGAAGGUCUUCGGAUCGUAAAACUCUGUUAUUAGGGAAGAACAUAUGUGUAAGUAACUGUGCACAUCUUGACGGUACCUAAUCAGAAAGCCACGGCUAACUACGUG
rnacentral:rRNA from 1 species